GGGUUUUCCCCGGGGAGCCGGCUGAACCCUCUGAUUGAGGAUUCGAGGCUGAGAGGUGGGCGUUGCGUCCCACGACCCGUUGAACCUGAACCCGUUAGCACGGGCGGAGGGAGGGUAUUUGCAGGCUGG
rnacentral:ncRNA from 2 species